rnacentral:rRNA from 1 species
CCCUUAGAUGCUCUGGGCCGCACGCGCGCUACACUGGUCGAUGCAACGAGUUUCUUUCCUUGGCCGACAGGCCUGGGCAAUCUUUGAACAUCGAUCGUGAUCGGGAUAGAUUCUUGUAAUUUUUGAUCUUAAACGAGGAAUUCCUAGUAAACGCAAGUCAUCAGCUUGCAUUGAUUGCGUCCCUGCCCUUUGUACACACCGCCCGUCGCACCUACCGAUUGAAUGGUCCGGUGAAAUCUCCGGACUGGCGUGAGUCGGAGCAAUCUGACAAACACCGGAAGGUUGAUUAAACCUUACCAUUUAGAGGAAGGUGAAGUCGUAACA